rnacentral:lncRNA from 1 species
ACCCGAUAAAAGAGGCAUCCAAAUACAUAUAUGCAUAUGUGAAUAAAUGUACAGUGACAAAUGUGCAUAUUAACGCAACCAGUGCAGACUUAUAGACAACAGCGGUUCUGCCCAGAUCAGACUUCAAAAUCCUUGGCAGCUUUAUGAUCAGAAUAAAUGAACACUUUAUCCACAGGAAUUCCUCGAAGUUAAUAACACAGUCUAAAAGAAAAUUCGAAGGUAA